AUUGAACGCUGGCGGCAUGCCUUACACAUGCAAGUCGAACGGUAACAGGUCUUCGGAUGCUGACGAGUGGCGAACGGGUGAGUAGUACAUCGGAACGUGCCUAGUAGUGGGGGAUAACUACUCGAAAGAGUGGCUAAUACCGCAUGAGAUCUACGGAUGAAAGCAGGGGAUCGCGAGACCUUGUGCUACUAGAGCGGCCGAUGGCAGAUUAGGUAGUUGGUGGGAUAAAAGCUUACCAAGCCGACGAUCUGUAGCUGGUCUGAGAGGACGAUCAGCCACACUGGGACUGAGACACGGCCCAGACUCCUACGGGAGGCAGCAGUGGGGAAUUUUGGACAAUGGGCGCAAGCCUGAUCCAGCAAUGCCGCGUGCAGGAUGAAGGCCUUCGGGUUGUAAACUGCUUUUGUACGGAACGAAAAGCCCUGGGUUAAUACCCUGGGGUCAUGACGGUACCGUAAGAAUAAGCACCGGCUAACUACGUGCCAGCCGCCGCAGUAAGAC
rnacentral:rRNA from 1 species